AUUGAACGCUGGCGGCAUGCCUUACACAUGCAAGUCGAACGGCAGCGGGCCUUCGGGUGCCGGCGAGUGGCGAACGGGUGAGUAAUGCAUCGGAACGUGCCAUUGAGUGGGGGAUAACGUAGCGAAAGUUGCGCUAAUACCGCAUAUUCUGUGAGCAGGAAAGCAGGGGACCGCAAGGCCUUGCGCUUUUUGAGCGGCCGAUGUCAGAUUAGCUAGUUGGUGAGGUAAAGGCUUACCAAGGCGACGAUCUGUAGCGGGUCUGAGAGGAUGAUCCGCCACACUGGAACUGAGACACGGUCCAGACUCCUACGGGAGGCAGCAGUGGGGAAUUUUGGACAAUGGGGGCAACCCUGAUCCAGCCAUGCCGCGUGAGUGAAGAAGGCCUCGGUGUAAGUACUCUUUCGUCCGGGAAGGAAAGUACGCGAUGGGUGGAGUA
rnacentral:rRNA from 1 species